GACGAACGCUGGCGGCGUGCUUAACACAUGCAAGUCGAACGGUAAGGCCCUUCGGGGUACACGAGUGGCGAACGGGUGAGUAACACGUGGGUGAUCUGCCCUGCACUUCGGGAUAAGCCUGGGAAACUGGGUCUAAUACCGGAUAGGACCACUGCCUGCAUGGGUGGUGGUGGAAAGCUUUUGCGGUGUGGGAUGGGCCCGCGGCCUAUCAGCUUGUUGGUGGGGUGAUGGCCUACCAAGGCGACGACGGGUAGCCGGCCUGAGAGGGUGACCGGCCACACUGGGACUGAGAUACGGCCCAGACACCUACGGGAGGCAGCAGUGGGGAAUAUUGCACAAUGGGCGCAAGCCUGAUGCAGCGACGCCGCGUGAGGGAUGACGGCCUUCGGGUUGAAAACCUCUAUCAGCACCGACGAAGCGCAAGUGACGGUAGGUGCAGAAGAAGGACCGGCCAACUACGUGCCAGCAGCCGCGGUAA
rnacentral:rRNA from 1 species